UUUCCAUGUAACUGAUCCCCAUGUGUAUCAUGUCAAAAUGCUCAGAACAUACUCAGCUUUCCGUGUAGUGAUGCCCAUAUUUUUUCUAGACUGUGUGUGU